AGGAAAAUAAAUCAAACGAGAUUCCCUAAGUAGCGGCGAGCGAAAUGGGAUCAGCCUAAACCGUGUGGGAUUUAUCCUGUGCGGGGUUGUAGGGCACUUUUUAUAAAAGUUACAAAAUGACAUUUUAGUAGAAUAGAUUGGAAAAUCUAACCAUAGAGGGUGAAAGUCCCGUAAACGAAAAAAUGUCAACUUUUUAAGUGUUCCUGAGUACGACGGGACACGUGAAAUCUUGUCGGAAUCUGGGGGGACCACCCUCCAAGGCUAAAUACUUUUGACGACCGAUAGUGAACUAGUACCGUGAGGGAAAGGUGAAAAGAACCCCGAGAGGGGAGUGAAAUAGAACUGAAACCAUAAACCUACAAACCGUGGGAGCUUGUAUUUAUACGGGUGACCGCGUGCCUAUUGAAGAAUGAGCCAACGAGUUACUUGGUACGGCGAGAUUAAGAAGUUAAGCUUUGAAGUCGAAGCGAAAGCAAGUCUGAAUAGGGCUAAUUAGUCGUGUCAAGUAGACCCGAAACCGUGUGAGCUACCUAUGG
rnacentral:rRNA from 1 species